GGGGGCGGAUGGGGCCUGGUGGCUUCUCCGGUCUUCAAAACCGGCGCGACCCGACCACGUCGGGUUGGGUGGGUUCGAUUCCCACACGCUCCA
rnacentral:tRNA from 1 species